GCCGUGGGGCAUGCUUACACAUGCAGUCGAACGGCAGCACGGGCUUCGGCCUGGUGGCGAGUGGCGAACGGGUGAGUAAUACAUCGGAACGUGCCCUGUAGUGGGGGAUAACUAGUCGAAAGAUUAGCUAAUACCGCAUACGACCUGAGGGUGAAAGCGGGGGACCGGUAACGGCCUCGCGCUACAGGAGCGGCCGAUGUCUGAUUAGCUAGUUGGUGGGGUAAGAGCCUACCAAGGCGACGAUCAGUAGCUGGUCUGAGAGGACGAUCAGCCACACUGGGACUGAGACACGGCCCAGACUCCUACGGGAGGCAGCAGUGGGGAAUUUUGGACAAUGGGGGCAACCCUGAUCCAGCAAUGCCGCGUGUGUGAAGAAGGCCUUCGGGUUGUAAAGCACUUUUGUCCGGAAAGAAAUCGCGCUGGUUAAUACCUGGCGUGGAUGACGGUACCGGAAGAAUAAGCACCGGCUAACUACGUGCCAGCAGCCGCGGUAAUACGUAGGGUGCGAGCGUUAAUCGGAAUUACUGGGCGUAAAGCGUGCGCAGGCGGUUUGAUAAGACAGGCGUGAAAUCCCCGAGCUUAACUUGGGAAUGGCGCUUGUGACUGUCAGGCUAGAGUAUGUCAGAGGGGGGUAGAAUUCCACGUGUAGCAGUGAAAUGCGUAGAGAUGUGGAGGAAUACCGAUGGCGAAGGCAGCCCCCUGGGACGUCACUGACGCUCAUGCACGAAAGCGUGGGGAGCAAACAGGAUUAUAUACCCUGGUAGUCCACGCCCUAAACGAUGUCAACUAGUUGUUGGGGAUUCAUUUCUUCAGUAACGUAGCUAACGCGUGAAGUUGACCGCCUGGGGAGUACGGUCGCAAGAUUAAAACUCAAAGGAAUUGACGGGGACCCGCACAAGCGGUGGAUGAUGUGGAUUAAUUCGAUGCAACGCGAAAAACCUUACCUACCCUUGACAUGCCACUAACGAAGCAGAGAUGCCUUAGUGCCCGAAAGGAAAGUGCACACAGGUGCUGCAUGGCUGUCGUCAGCUCGUGCUCGGUGAGAUGUUGGGAUAAGUCCCGCAACGAGCGACACCCUUGUCUCUAGUUGCUACGCAGAGCACUCUG
rnacentral:rRNA from 1 species